GGGUACCGCUCCCCCGACCUCAGGACCGCGCUCGGUACAAGCGCCGGGUCCGAGG
rnacentral:ncRNA from 1 species